rnacentral:lncRNA from 1 species
GGGAAAAUAACGCGGGAAACUUAGGCGGGAAAAAUUGCACUGCUCGUCCGUCGUUAUCGCGUGCAUGUGGCGGGAACAAAUACAGCAGGCAGCCUCCGUUCCUAAAUAUAAGUCUUUUUAGAUAUUUUACUAGAUGACUACAUACAAAGCAAAAUGACAGAAUCUACAUUCUAAAAUGAGUCCAUAUACAUCCAUAUGUAGUCUUCUAGUAAAAA